rnacentral:lncRNA from 1 species
CGAAGAGCGGCCCCGCUGCCCUCACCGCCUCCCCCGGCAGCCACCGCCCCGAGUGGCAGCCGCCAUAGCCAAUGGGGAGCGCGGCCGGCGCGCUGUCCGCCAAUGGGAGGCGGAGGCGGGACUACGGGCCGUGGAGGGAAGGGGGGAUGCGGCGGGGAGGAGGGGGCUGGGCGCGAGGGCCUCGGCUGACGGUCGCCUCGCGCCUAACGGCCGCCCCGUGCAAACGGUCGCCUCACGGCUAACGGCCGCCGCGAGGGGGUUGGAGGCGCGGCCGCCUUCUCCAGCGGGGAGCUGCGGGGCUCGCGGCGUGAGGCGGCCCGCUGCCCGACAGCUCGGCGGCUCCUCCUCCUCCUCCUCCGCUCCCGGCCGGCCUCUGUGGGACGGGGAUGGAGGGACGGGCCCCGAAAAGCCUCGGCCACGGGAGGCAGAAUGGCCAGAGUACCCCUGCAGAGGGCAGGGGAGUUUUUGUGCCACGUCCCCCUUCUGUUCGGGCAGAGAAGCAUCCAAACAACUGCCCUAG